AGGGGAUCGUAAGACCUUGCGCUUUUGGAGCGGCCGAUGUCUGAUUAGCUAGUUGGUGGGGUAAUGGCCUACCAAAGCUUCGAUCAGUAGCUGGUCUGAGAGGACGGCCAGCCACACUGGGACUGAGACACGGCCCAGACUCCUACGGGAGGCAGCAGUGGGGAAUUUUGGACAAUGGGCGCAAGCCUGAUCCAGCCAUGCCGCGUGAGUGAAGAAGGCCUUCGGGUUGUAAAGCUCUUUCAGCCGGGAAGAAAAGGCUGCGACUAAUAAUCGCAGUUCAUGACGGUACCGGAAGAAGAAGCACCGGCUAACUACGUGCCAGCAGCCGCGGUAAUACGUAGGGUGCAAGCGUUAAUCGGAAUUACUGGGCGUAAAGGGUGCGCAGGCGGCUUUGUAAGUCAGAUGUGA
rnacentral:rRNA from 1 species